UAGUACGGCGAGUGAAGCGGCAAAAGCUCAAAUUUGAAAUCUGGUACCUUCGGUGCCCGAGUUGUAAUUUGGAGAGGGCAACUUUGGGGCCGUUCCUUGUCUAUGUUCCUUGGAACAGGACGUCAUAGAGGGUGAGAAUCCCGUGUGGCGAGGAGUGCGGUUCUUUGUAAAGUGCCUUCGAAGAGUCGAGUUGUUUGGGAAUGCAGCUCUAAGUGGGUGGUAAAUUCCAUCUAAAGCUAAAUAUUGGCGAGAGACCGAUAGCGAACAAGUACAGUGAUGGAAAGAUGAAAAGAACUUUGAAAAGAGAGUGAAAAAGUACGUGAAAUUGUUGAAAGGGAAGGGCAUUUGAUCAGACAUGGUGUUUUGUGCCCUCUGCUCCUUGUGGGUAGGGGAAUCUCGCAUUUCACUGGGCCAGCAUCAGUUUUGGUGGCAGGAUAAAUCCAUAGGAAUGUAGCUUGCCUCGGUAAGUAUUAUAGCCUGUGGGAAUACUGCCAGCUGGGACUGAGGACUGCGACGUAAGUCAAGGAUGCUGGCAUAAUGGUUAUAUGCCGCCCGUCUUGA
rnacentral:rRNA from 1 species